rnacentral:tRNA from 1 species
GCAGUCGUGGUUCAGUGGUAGAAUUCCUGCCUUCUAUGCAGGAAACCGGGUCCUAUUCUGGGCCAAUGCA